rnacentral:rRNA from 1 species
GUGCCAGCAGCCGCGGUAAUACGAAGGGUGCAAGCGUUAAUCGGAAUAACUGGGCGUAAAGCGCGCGUAGGUGGUUAAUCAAGUUGGAUGUGAAAUCCCUGGGCUCAACCUAGGAACUGCAUCCAAAACUGGCUAACUAGAGUACAAUAGAGGUUAGUGGAAUUUCCUGUGUAGCGGUGAAAUGCGUAGAUAUAGGAAGGAACACCAGUGGCGAAGGCGGCUUGCUGGACUGUAACUGACGUUGAGGCUCGAAAGUGUGGGUAGCAAACAGGAUUAGAUACCCUGGUAGUCCACGCUGUAAACGAUGUCAACUAGCUGUUGGGAUCCUAGAGAUCUUAGUGGCGUAGCUAACGCGCUAAGUUGACCGCCUGGGGAGUACGGUCGCAAGAUUAAAACUCAAAUGAAUUGACGGGGGCCCGCACAAGCGGUGGAGCAUGUGGUUUAA